AACGCUGGCGGCGUGCUUAACACAUGCAAGUCGAACGGAGUUUUUAACGGAAGUUUCGGAUGGAAGUUUAAGAACUUAGUGGCGGACGGGUGAGUAACGCGUGGGUAACCUGCCUCAUACAGGGGGAUAACAGUUAGAAAUGACUGCUAACACCGCAUAAUAUAGCGAAACCGCAUGAUUUUUGCUAUCAAAUAUUUAUAGGUAUGAGAUGGGCCCGCGUCUGAUUAGCUAGUUGGUGGGGUAAAAGCCUACCAAGGCGACGAUCAGUAGCCGGCUUGAGAGAGUGACCGGCCACAUUGGGACUGAGACACGGCCCAAACUCCUACGGGAGGCAGCAGUGGGGAAUAUUGGACAAUGGGGGAAACCCUGAUCCAGCGAACCGCCGCGUGAGUGAAGAAGUAUUUCGGUAUGUAAAGCUCUAUCAGCAGGGAAGAUAAUGACAGUACCUGACUAAGAAGCCCCGGCUAACUACGUGCCAGCCGCUGC
rnacentral:rRNA from 1 species